rnacentral:rRNA from 1 species
GACGAACGCUGGCGGCGUGCUUAACACAUGCAAGUCGAACGCUGAAGCUUGGUGCUUGCGCUGUGUGGAUGAGUGGCGAACGGGUGAGUAAUACGUGAGUAACCUGCUCUUGACUCUGGGAUAAGCCUGGGAAACUGGGUCUAAUACUGGAUACGACAUGCCACUGCAUGGUGGUGUGUGGAAAGGGUUUUACUGGUUUUGGAUGGGCUCACGGCCUAUCAGCUUGUUGGUGGGGUAAUGGCCUACCAAGGCGACGACGGGUAGCCGGCCUGAGAGGGUGACCGGCCACACUGGGACUGAGACACGGCCCAGACUCCUACGGGAGGCAGCAGUGGGGAAUAUUGCACAAUGGGCGGAAGCCUGAUGCAGCGACGCCGCGUGAGGGAUGACGGCCUUCGGGUUGUAAACCUCUUUCAGCACGGAAGAAGCGAGAGUGACGGUACGUGCAGAAGAAGCGCCGGCUAACUACGUG